rnacentral:tRNA from 1 species
AGCUUUAUAUUCAAUAAUGAUAUAAAAUUGCAAAUUUUAAGGAGUAUAAAUUAAAUACUAAGGCUUA